rnacentral:rRNA from 1 species
AUUGAACGCUGGCGGCAUGCCUUACACAUGCAAGUCGAACGGUAACAGGUCUUCGGAUGCUGACGAGUGGCGAACGGGUGAGUAAUACAUCGGAACGUGCCCAAUCGUGGGGGAUAGCUCGGCGAAAGCCGGAUUAAUACCGCAUACGAUCUACGGAUGAAAGCAGGGGAUCGCAAGACCUUGCGCGAAUGGAGCGGCCGAUGGCAGAUUAGGUAGUUGGUGGGGUAAAGGCUCACCAAGCCGACGAUCUGUAGCUGGUCUGAGAGGACGACCAGCCACACUGGGACUGAGACACGGCCCAGACUCCUACGGGAGGCAGCAGUGGGGAAUUUUGGACAAUGGGCGCAAGCCUGAUCCAGCAAUGCCGCGUGCAGGAUGAAGGCCUUCGGGUUGUAAACUGCUUUUGUACGGAACGAAAAGGCUCUGGUUAAUACCUGGGGCUCAUGACGGUACCGUAAGAAUAAGCACCGGCUAACUACGUGCCAGCAGCCGCCGUAACAC